AUUGAACGCUGGCGGCAGGCCUAACACAUGCAAGUCGAGCGGAGCGGCGGUCGGGUGAGUAAUGCCUAGGAAUCUGCCUGGUAGUGGGGGAUAACGUCCGGUAAUGGGCGCCAAUACCGCAUAUUCUCAUAUGAGGCUAGGUCGGAUUAGCUUGUUGGUGGGGUGAAGGCCGACCAAGGCGACGAUCCGUAACUGGUUUGAGCGGAUGAUCAGUCACACUGGGACUGAGACACGGGCCAGACUCCUACGGGAGGCAGCAGUGGGGAAUGUUGGACAAUGGGAGAAAGCCUGAUCCAGCCAUGCCGCGUGUGUGAAGAAGGUCUUCGGAUUGUAAAGCACUUUAAGUUGGGAGGCGUUACCUGCAGAAUAAGCACCGGCUGACUACGUGCCAGCAGCCGCGGUAAUUC
rnacentral:rRNA from 1 species